rnacentral:lncRNA from 1 species
CAUGACCCCACCUCUUAUCUGACUAGUUGAAAGAAGUAAGAAUAGAUCUAACUUACAUUUAGGCCGAGCCACUCUAUAUCAAACUGUUAGAUCUAAGAAACCCAUAGGUGUCUAGGUUUAAUUGUUUGCUAACUUAUUUAUGAGUGAAAUAAAAGAAAAUAUAAAAAAAUCUGAACUACAUGCAUUAGGAUUUGCACUGGUACAUACAUGGUAAGGA